GGGGGCGUAGCUCAGCUGGGAGAGCAUCUGCUUUGCAAGCAGGGGGUCGGCAGUUCAACUCUGCUCGCCUCCA
rnacentral:tRNA from 1 species